AAUUUGGACUGCCACUUGUAGAAAUGAAUAUUUGAUAGGGAUAGGAUCACGAUUUUCCUGACAACAAGGGACUCAAAUCCUUUCAUACUGUAGGUUCAUGGCCCAAAAAAAUAGGCACAUAUUAAAAUAUUUAUUACAAAGAUUUUAUUUCCUUGAGAUUUUAACACAAUAUACAAAAGACAUAUUUAAUCCUAAAUGCAACAGAGUAUUACCAAAUGUUUCUAGGAAAUGUAUAAUGAAACAACUAUAAAGUGUGACGUACCAUCAUCAACUUCUGAAGUGUUAUUGCUACACAAAUUCUGGUUUAAAUUCUUUUAUAAAGAAUAAGGCAAGAAAGAAAUAAUCUAUCUUUAACUUCAAUUUAGCAUAGAAAAGAUAAUUUUAGUCAAAAUAUUCAAAUUAACAAAUAUUCACUUUGCAGGAUUUUUUUUUAAUGAAAUCUCAUAUUUCUUAUAAAUAGCCAAGAUAUCCAUUGAAUGAAUAAAAAUAUCCUUCAGUAACAAAAUGUGAGUAGCAAUAAAAUAUUGUCUGCAUGAAACUAAGCAUCACAUAAAUACUGACCAAGAGUUCAUAGCCAUUUAUAGUAAGAUUGUGAAAGUACAAAUAUAUAGUUUUAAGUUGUGUGGUAGUAGUGACUCUAAUCUGUACUAGAAAAUUUAAAUUUGAUUUUAUUUCAUUUUUUUCCUGAUAUGUGGUACAUAAAAUUUUUCAUUUAUUGUUUUUUCAGUGUUUUUUCUUCUUCUUGAUAUGUGAAAGACACAAAUAUCAAUAAUACACUUUCAAUAUACUUCUUUUUUAUUAUUAAGAAACAGGUAUUGAGGUCACUUGGUGAUGUAUAAUAGGAAUCAAAUGGGGUAAUACUGCAAAAUUAAAAGCACUUCCACACACCAAACAUAAAAAGCAUGCACAACUCAGAUCAUAAUAAAUAUGUGUUUAACACAAAACAUACAACAAUGUACAAUAAUUCCCUGCUUUGGUUCAUUAUUUAUGAGCUUUGAUUCAUGAUCGAUUUUUCUCAUAAAAUUUUCUUUUAUGAUGUUUUUAUAUGAUUCUUUGUUGUUAAAAAACAUACCACAAUAUCCACAGAGCAUGAUUUAAUGAAGACUCUCCAUAUAAACUUGGUGCUAAUUAUCAUUUUUUCUUUCAAAAACUUAUAUUAUCAGAAGUUGGCCCCG
rnacentral:lncRNA from 1 species